rnacentral:rRNA from 1 species
CCUACGGGUGGCAGCAGUGAGGAAUAUUGGUCAAUGGGCUUACGCCUGAACCAGCCAAGUCGCGUGAGGGAAGACUGCCCUACGGGUUGUAAACCUCUUUUGCCAGGGAGCAACGCCGUCCACGUGUAGCCGGCCUGAGAGUACCUGCAGAAAAAGCAUCGGCUAACCCCGUGCCAGCAGCAGCGGUAAUACGAAGGCUGCGAGCGUUACCCGGAUUUAGUGGGUUUAAAGGGUGCGUAGGCGGAAUGCCAAGUCAGCGGUAAAAUCGCGGGGCUCAACCUCGCUCCGCCGUUGAAACUGGCGUUCUUGAGUGGACAAGAGGUAUGCGGAAUGCGUGGUGUAGCGGUGAAAUGCAUAGAUAUCACGCGGAACUCCGAUUGCGAAGGCAGCAUACCGGCGCCCGACUGACGCUGAGGCACGAAGGCGUGGGUAUCGAACAGGAUUAGAUACCCGGGUAGUC